rnacentral:tRNA from 1 species
GCGGAUGUGGCGGAAUUGGUAGACGCGCCAGAUUUAGGUUCUGGUGCCGCAAGGCGUGAAGGUUCAAGUCCUUUCAUCCGCA